UAGCUAGUUGGUGAGGUAAAGGCUCACCAAGGCGACGAUCUGUAGCGGGUCUGAGAGGAUGAUCCGCCACACUGGAACUGAGACACGGUCCAGACUCCUACGGGAGGCAGCAGUGGGGAAUUUUGGACAAUGGGGGCAACCCUGAUCCAGCCAUGCCGCGUGAGUGAAGAAGGCCUUCGGGUUGUAAAGCUCUUUCGGCCGGGAAGAAAUCGUAUGGGUUAAUACCCUGUGCGGAUGACGGUACCGGCAUAAGAAGCACCGGCUAACUACGUGCCAGCAGCCGCGGUAAUACGUAGGGUGCGAGCGUUAAUCGGAAUUACUGGGCGUAAAGCGUGCGCAGGCGGUUUUGUAAGACAGGCGUGAAAUCCCCGGGCUCAACCUGGGAACUGCGCUUGUGACUGCAAGGCUAGAGUACGGCAGAGGGGGGUGGAAUUCCACGUGUAGCAGUGAAAUGCGUAGAGAUGUGGAGGAACACCAAUGGCGAAGGCAGCCCCCUGGGUCGAUACUGACGCUCAUGCACGAAAGCGUGGGUAGCAAACAGGAUUAGAUACCCUGGUAGUCCACGCCCUAAACGAUGUCAACUAGGUGUUGGGUGGGUAAAACCAUUUAGUACCGGAGCUAACGCGUGAAGUUGACCGCCUGGGGAGUACGGCCGCAAGGUUAAAACUCAAAGGAAUUGACGGGGACCCGCACAAGCGGUGGAUGAUGUGGAUUAAUUCGAUGCAACGCGAAAAACCUUACCUACCCUUGACAUGUCCAGGAGCCUGAAGAGAUUUGGGUGUGCCCGAAAGGGAACUGGAACACAGGUGCUGCAUGGCUGUCGUCAGCUCGUGUCGUGAGAUGUUGGGUUAAGUCCCGCAACGAGCGCAACCCUUGUCGUUAAUUGCCAUCAUUUAGUUGGGCACUUUAACGAGACUGCCGGUGACAAACCGGAGGAAGGUGGGGAUGACGUCAAGUCCUCAUGGCCCUUAUGGGUAGGGCUUCACACGUCAUACAAUGGUCGGUACAAAGGGUCGCCAACCCGCGAGGGGGAGCCAAUCCCAGAAAGCCGAUCGUAGUCCGGAUCGUAGGCUGCAACUCGCCUGCGUGAAGUCGGAAUCGCUAGUAAUCGUGGAUCAGCAUGUCACGGUGAAUACGUUCCCGGGUCUUGUACACACCGCCCGUCACACCAUGGGAGCGGGUUCCGCCAGAAGUAGGUAGCCUAACCGCAAGGGGGGCGCUUACCACGGCGGGGUUCGUGACUGGGGUGAAGUAACAAGGUAGCCGUAGGGAACCUGCGGCUG
rnacentral:rRNA from 1 species